rnacentral:lncRNA from 1 species
GGGUAUUGGAUCAAGCAGAACCAGCACCAGGACUGAUCUUGGGCUUGUUCUUGAACUUAAUUGCUGAGGAUUUAACUGAUUCACCCAUCAUCUGGAUCACAGACUUCUUUGGUGGUGGAAUGACCGUAUUGACCUUGGAUUUGGAUCCCUGUCCAGUCUCGGCCCUGGACUGUCCUUUUCCGGGGUAGGGUUUCGCCACUUCCUUAUCCGCCAUCUCUCUCUCUCUCUCUCUAAUUCUGAUCAAAU